GAGGAAUGUAUAGCAAUAGCUACUUGCAUCAUUACAAUGAUGAUGCAAGAUCGACUAUGUCGAAUAAAAUUCUAGGUAGAAUUAUGAUAAUGACAUUGUCUGCCUAUGUGUCUUGACCAAAUUACGUGCCAGCAGUCGCGGUAAUACGUAGAAGACUAGUGUUAUUCAUGUUUAAUCGGUUUAAAGGGUACCUAGACGGCAGAUCAAGCUUUCGAUGAAAUAUAAUUAAAGGAAAAGGACUAAUUUGCUAGAGUUACUUGUGAGGGGGUAUUAAAGUACUGCUGGUGUAGAGAUGAAAUUCUGUCAUACCUCUCUUCGAAAGAAGAAUGAUGGCACAGGUAUAGGCGAAGGCAUCCCCUUAUGUGAUAACUGACGUUGAGGGACGAAGGCUUUGUGUAGCGAACAGGAUUAGAUACCCCAGUAGUCGAAGCAGAAAAUGAUGAAUGUCAUAGAUUAGAUAUAAGUUUAUUCUAUAAAUGAAAGUGUAAGCAUUCCACCUCAUGAGUAAUUUGGCAACAUUGGAACUGAAAUCAUUAGACCGUUUCUGAAACCAGUAGUGAAGUAUGUUGUUUAAUUUGAUGAUCCGCAAAAAACCUUACCACAAUUUGAAUAUUUAUAUUUUUUUUUAUUGUUUCCUUAUUAAUUUUUUUCUAAUAACAAACGAAACGUGCGAAGAAAAAAACNUAUUGUAUAAAUGAUAAUACUGAAUGGCGCAAAUGAUAAUCCUGAAUAAAUGAAGAUCCUGAANGGUACAAAUAAUUAAUAAUUAGAAGAAAUCUAAUAAAGAGGCAAUAAGAUAUAUUUACAAGCGUUGCACGGCUGUCUUCAGUUAAUGUCGCGAGACUUUGGUUAGUUCCAUUAAAUUAACGUAAACCCUUACUUUAUUUUUAUAUAGAGUAGUUCCCCGCUAUAUUGGAUAUGAU
rnacentral:rRNA from 1 species